rnacentral:rRNA from 1 species
CGGGAAGCGAGCGUACACAGGUGCUGCAUGGCUGUCGUCAGCUCGUGUCGUGAGAUGUUGGGUUAAGUCCCGCAACGAGCGCAACCCUGCAUUCAGUUGCCAUCGGGUAAUGCCGGGCACUCUGGAAGGACUGCCAUCGACAAGAUGGAGGAAGGUGGGGAGUGACGUCAAGUCAUCAUGGCCCUUACGGCCUGGGCUACACACGUGCUACAAUGGUCGGUACAAAGGGUUGCCAAGCCGCGAGGUGGAGCUAAUCCCAUAAAACCGAUCGUAGUCCGGAUCGCAGUCUGCAACUCGACUGCGUGAAGUCGGAAUCGCUAGUAAUCGUGAAUCAGAAUGUCACGGUGAAUACGUUCCCGGGCCUU